CUCUAUAAGUACAGUCGAUUGGAUUCCUUUAUCACGGUCCUUUGGCGGCCCUCUGCGAUGAGGGUUGCUUGAUGAUUUUACGCAUAGUUCAAAUGAUCAUGUAUAUAUGAUUAAACAUUCGAAGGUCUUUUGCUCCUAUCCGGCGACCUCGGCUCAGGUAAAUUGCUCAACUGCGACUGGGCUUCAACUCGGAUCUGGAAAGCUCACCUCUUGUUUUGCUUUUUGAAAAAAACUUGAAAAUAGUCUCACAGAAAUACAUGAAAAUAGAGGCAACUUUGCCGAGGUGAUCAAUUCUUCUUGAUUUCCUCUUUUUCCCUGUUGCCUAUAUUGUACUUGGCCAUACUUGGGAUGAUUUGGGGUGUCGUUCUUUAAUACUGAUACCAACAUUCCCACAUGAGCCGAAAUCCUUUUAGUUAACGAAGGAAACAAAAUACAUGAAUUUUUUUUCUCAGGUUUUUUUAAUUUCAACUUGCUUCUAUUGGUUUUGAUUAGUAAUUUGUGUCUACUUGUUGAGUUUUUCCCUUGGUUUUUGCCCACUGAUUCUUGUUUUGGGCACCCUGUUGGUUUUGAUCGGUAAUUGGCGUCUACUUGUUCAGUUUUUCCCUUGGAUUUUGCCCCUGAUUCUUGUUUUGGACACCACCUGUUUGACAAAAUGUCUCACACGUUGGGGUAAUUUUUUUGGGGGUAGACUUGAUCAAUAAGAAGCCCAAUGAAGAUUCUGAGGCGCAAAGAUGAUCUAAUCAUGGUUUUGGAGGAACUUUUUCGGACAAAAACAGUAACAUGCAGAUGGUAUAUACAGGGGUGUCGAGAAUGUGAAGAAAACAAGUAGGGUUUUUGUUCAAGUAAGAAUAUCUUAGGAGGAAGCAAAAAGGAAUGUAGGGUUGUUAUUCAUGCUACUGUCAUCACUAUUUUUAUUGGCAAAUGGUGCAGUAUGGCUCCUAAUAUGCCUUCAUGCUUAUUUCCAUGCUCAUAAUCUGUUGGUAAAUGGUGUUUUUAUAUCUGCUGAUCAA